AUUGAACGCUGGCGGCAGGCCUAACACAUGCAAGUCGAACGAGUGGCGGACGGGUGAGCAAUGUCUGGGAAACUGACUGGUGGAGGGGGAUAAAUACUGGAAACGGUAGCUAAUACCGCAUACCAUCAGAUGUGCCAUGAUGGGAUUUGCUUGUUGGUGGGGUAACGGCUCACCAAGGCGACGAUCCCUAGCUGGUCUGAGAGGAUUCCCAGCCACACUGUAACUGAGACACGGUCCAGACUCCUACGGGAGGCAGCAGUUGGGAAUAUUGCACAAUGGGUGCAAGCCUGAUGCAGCCAUGCCGCGUGUAUGAAGAAGGCCUUCGGGUUGUAAAGUACUUUCAGCGGGGAGGCGUUACCCGAAGAAGAAGCACCGGCUAACUCCGUGCCAGCAGCCGCGGUAAUUC
rnacentral:rRNA from 1 species